GCUCACACACAGCGUGAGGACAACAUGAUUUCUGCCAGCCUGAUCGUUCUGGGUCUCAGUCUGUGCUUCCUGGGAGCCAGGGCUACGGAUCCCACAAGUGAGUUAACAUUGAACCGUCCGAUUCUUAUUCACAGUCUGUUGGGCAUGAUUAACAUAGGGCUUAGACAGGGACCCCAGAACCGUGAAUUCCCCCAUUCACCAACCCAUGUGAUCAUACUCCUGUUAUACUAUUGUUAUUAAUUAAUAUUGGUACAUGAACACAACUCACAAUACAUGGGGCCGAGGCAGUAACCCCUGUAUAGUAACAGAGAAUAGCAUGUCGUGUACUGUAAAGUAACAGAGAAUAGCGUGUCGUGUCCUGUAUAGUAACAGAGAAUAGCAUGUCCUGUCCUGUAUAGUAACAGAGAAUAGCGUGUCGUGUCCUGUAUAGUAACAGAGAAUAGCAUGUCGUGUCCUGUAAAGUAACAGAGAAUAGCGUGUCGUGUCCUGUAUAGUAACAGAGAAUAGCGUGUCGUGUCCUGUAUAGUAACAGAGAAUAGCAUGUCGUGUCCUGUAUAGUAACAGAGAAUAGCGUGUCGUGUCCUGUAUAGUAACAGAGAAUAGCAUGUCGUGUCCUGUAUAGUAACAGAGAAUAGCAUGUCGUGUCCUGUGUAGUAACAGAGAAUAGCAUGUCGUGUCCUGUAUAGUAACAGAGAAUAGCAUGUCGUGUCCUGUAAAGUAACAGAGAAUAGCAUGUCGUGUCCUGUAUAGUAACAGAGAAUAGCGUGUCGUGUCCUGUAUAGUAACAGAGAAUAGCAUGUCGUGUCCUGUAUAGUAACAGAGAAUAGCGUGUUGUGUCCUGUAUAGUAACAGAGAAUAGCAUGUCGUGUCCAGUAAAAUAACAGAGAAUAGCAUGUCGUGUCCUGUAUAGUAACAGAGAAUAGCGUGUCAUGUCCUGUAUAGUAACAGAGAAUAGCUUGUCCUGUAUAGUAACAGAGAAUAGCAUGUCAUGUCCUGUAUAGUAACAGAGAAUAGCGUGUCGUGUCCUGUAUAGUAACAGGAGGAACAGCAUAUCCUGUAUAGUGCAACAGAGAAUAGCAUGUCGUGUCCUGUAAAGUAACAGAAUAGUGUACCUGUAUAGUAACAGAGAAUAGUGUGUCGUGUCCUGUAUAGUAACAGGGUACAGCGUGUCGUGUCCUGUAUAGUAACAGAGAAUAGCGUGUCGUGUCCUGUAUAGUAACAGAGAAUAGCGUGUCGUGUCCUGUAUAGUAACAGAGAAUAGCAUGUCAUGUCCUGUAUAGUAACAGAGAAUAGCGUGUCGUGUCCUGUAUAGUAACAGAGAAUAGCAUGUCCUGCAUAGUAACAGAGAAUAGCAUGUCGUGUCCUGUAAAGUAACAGAGAAUAGUGUGUCCUGUAUAGUAACAGAGAAUAGCGUGUCGUGUCCUGUAUAGUAACAGAGAAUAGCAAGUCGUGUCCUGUAUAGUAACAGAGAAUAGCGUGUCGUGUCCUGUAUAGUAACAGAGAAUAGCGUGUCAUGUCCUGUAUAGUAACAGAGAAUGUCGUGUCGUCUCCUGUAUAGUAACAGAGAAUAGCAUGUCGUGUCCUGUAUAGUAACAGAGAAUAGCAUGUCGUGUCCUGUAUAGUAACAGAGAAUAGCUUGUCUUGUCCUGUAUAGUAACAGAGAAUAGCUUGUCCUGUAUAGUAACAGAGAAUAGCAUGUCAUGUCCUGUAUAGUAACAGAGAAUAGCGUGUCGUGUCCUGUAUAGUAACAGAUAAUAGCAUGUCCUGUAUAGUAACAGAGAAUAGCAUGUCGUGUCCUGUAUAGUAACAGAGAAUAGUGUGUCCUGUAUAGUAACAGAGAAUAGCGUGUCGUGUCCUGUAUAGUAACAGAGAAUAGCAAGUCGUGUCCUGUAUAGUAACAGAGAAUAGCGUGUCGUGUCCUGUAUAGUAACAGAGAAUAGCAUGUCGUGUCCUGUAUAGUAACAGAGAAUAGCGUGUCGUGUCCUGUAUAGUAACAGGGUACAGCGUGUCGUGUCCUGUAUAGUAACAGAGAAUAGUGUGUCCUGUAUAGUAACAGAGAAUAGCGUGUCGUGUCCUGUAUAGUAACAGAGAAUAGCGUGUCGUGUUCUGUAUAGUAACAGAGAAUAGCGUGUCGUGUCCUGUAUAGUAACAGAGAAUAGCGUGUCGUGUUCUGUAUAGUAACAGAGAAUAGCGUGUUGUGUCCUGUAUAGUAAAAGAGAAUAGCGUGUCGUGUCCUGUAUAGUAACAGAGAUUAGCGUGUCGUGUCCUGUAUAGUAACAGAGAAUAGCGUGUCGUCCUGUAUAGUAACAGGGAAUAGCGCACGUAUCCCGUAUAGUAACAGAGAAUAGCUGGUCGUGGUCCUGUAUAGUAACAGAAUAGCAUGUCGCGGUCCCGUAUAGUAACAGAAUACGUGGUCCUGUAUAGUAACAGAGAAUAGCGUGUCGUGUCCUGUAUAGUAACAGAGAAUAGCGUGUCAUGUCCUGUAUAGUAACAGAGAAUAGCUUGUCCUGUAUAGUAACAGAGAAUAGCGUGUCGUGUCCUGUAUAGUAACAGAGAUAGCGUGUCGUGUCCUGUAUAGUAACAGAGAGUAGUCGUGUCCUGUAUAGUAACAGAGAAUAGCAUGUCGUGUCCUGUAUAGUAACAGAGAAUAGCGUGUCCGGUAUAGUAACAGAGAAUAGCGUGUCCUGUAUAGUAACAGAGAAUAGCGUGUCGUGUCCUGUAUAGUAACAGAGAAUAGCGUGUCGUGUAUAGUAACAGAGAAUAGCAUGUCGUGUCCUGUAUAGUAGCAGAGAAUAGCUUGUCUUGUCCUGUAUAGCAACAGAAUAGCAUGUUGUUCCCUGUAUAGUAACAGAGAAUAGCGUUCGGUUCCAUGCGCACUAAUGGAAAGUGCUGAACCAGUGGAACCAGGGGGAAUAAAAUAUGGUUCUUUACAGUCGCUGACCUGGCCCAUAGUUGGUGGGCAUAGUCGGUAAGCAAACAUGUAUUCCUGACCCUAUAGUGUUAACACCACCAUCUAGCCUCCAUAAAUAUAGUAAAGUUCUUACUGUAUUCAAGCCUGAAGCUGUAGCUCUGCAUGCUGUUUGAGUCAGAAAAACAAGCAGUCUGCUGACAUCAUCAUAAGUUGUAGCCUGAUCCAAUCACAGAGCGUCCCCAUAGGAUUGGCUGAGACUGUCAAGGAGGCAGAUUAGGGGCAGAGCCAGCAUGAUUCAAACACAGCCCUGGCCAAUCAGCAUCUCCUCAUAGAGAUGAAUUGAAUCAAUGAAUCUCUAUGAGGAAAGUUCAGUGUCUGCAUGCAGAGGGAGGAGAUACUGAAUGUUUGGAUGCAUUUUAGGCAGCCAUGACCCAGGAAGGAUCUCUAACAGCCAUCUGAGGAGUGGCCAGUGAAGUUAUCACUAGGCUGUAAUGUAAACACUGCAUUUUCUCUGAAAAGACAGUGUUUACAGCAAAAAGCCUGAAGGUAAUGAUUCUACUCACCAGAACAAAUUCAAUAAGCUGUAAUUGUUCUGGUGACUAUAGUGUCCCUUUAAACGAGAAAAUGUUAAAAAAAAAGUCAUAUUUACAUGUACCUUGUAACCCUUAUAAUCACCAUAAUUAUGAAAAGUCAUGCAGAUAAAAAUGCCAUUAGCUCAAUGGCUAAUCCUCUUGUUACUCUACGUUGAAUGUUGCUGCUAUCCAGAAUUCAGACUUUAACCCCUUAAGGACACAACUUCUGGAAUAAAAGGGAAUCAUGAUGUGUCAUUAAGGGGUUAAUAUUGGUCUAUAACUGGAAUAGGAGCUUUGUAUAUCAGUGAGUGGUAGUCUAGGUAAUCGAUAUCAGAAGAAUACCCCCUAUAGAUGGCUAAUAGAGAGUUAGUAAAGACAUAUGCAAAAAUGAUAUGAAUGCUUUCUCCAAAUAAUCUCUUAAUACAUAAUAGAGAGAUUGGUAAUCAUAGUGUUAGUGAUAGAAUGGAAUGAAUGGAUCAGCUGGCUGUAACAGAGUUAUUCCUAUUUUGUAAUGAUGUUGCAAUAGUGUUGCCUUUUAAACACUAGUAUUCCUUGAAUGGCCCUAUGAGUCAACCUUACAGUUUAUAACUAAGGUUGCAAUAUGUUGCCUUUAGUAUUAGCGAAUCUACCAGGAAAGCAUACAGCCGGCAUGCAUCCAAUUGCUGAGUAAAGAGCUAUAGAUCUGUGCAGGGAUCAGAGUAUUAGCUCAAGCAGCAAACUCAAAAUCUCUAUGAUGCUGAUAAUACCCUAGACUUACAAGAGGAAAAAAGACAUUUAAAAAAAUAAGUGCUAUAAGUGCAGAACCAUGCUUCGAAUGCCGGUUACCCGCACUGUGAAAGUGAAAGUGCCCUGUGAAAAAGCUAUUUCUUUUUACCCCUGACGAAGGUGCACACAAGAGUGCACCGAAACGUGCGUCAGGUUUUUUUCACUUUUUCACAGGGCACUUUCACUUUCACAUUCUCACAACUCCAUAUCAGGUAACCUGACCUAGCCUACACCUGAACCCCUGGUGAGCAGGGCCCCAGUCCCCCGUGCCCCCUUGAUACUUGGUUCUCAUAUGAAAGUUUCCACUUAAAUGGAAAUUCUAUAUAUACAAAUAAGUCCCCCCCCCUCCUCCCCAGGGGAGAAUUCAAGCCAACGAGGGGGAGAACCACAAUCCAAAGUUGAAUUGUCCUAAGAUACAGCCACAACUAUACAGUGUAACAAGUUUUACUCUGGGAUAUCCAACCAACACAGUAAAAACCUGUGAAUUGGAAUGAAUAUUGUGUUAUUCACCAUAAUAUUGCCAAAUGUUACUUACAUCCAAUAUAUUUCUGAUACAAUUCCUGUAUUACCUUGCAGUCGCCGUUUGGCAAUGUCACUGUAUGUAUUUAUCGCAUAUUACCAAUAAAAAAAAAAAAACACAUAUGUAUUUUUCAAUGUUUCACACAGACAUUCCUGUAAAAAUGCUUUAAUCAAUUAUUACCCAUUAUGUCUGAAUAAUGAUAUUUUUUGGUUCCUUUCCCUGAUGUAGAGAAGCCGGGCAGUUGUCCUUUGGACGUGGAUUACCCACGAUGUGACUCGGUGAAUGUAAACAAUCUGAAGAACGAUUGUCGGACAGACAGAGACUGCAAGGGGGACAGAAAGUGCUGCUUUUCUGGCUGUCAGAAACAGUGCCUCCUGCCUCUGAAAGGUGUGGAACCUGACACAUAAAACGUACUACUGCCAUGUUUGGAAUGUUCUGAAUGUCACUUAUUGACACAAU